UGGACAUAAUAAAGGAUGGACUACAGACUGGAAAAUGGCCGCCCAUUCAUUCCUAUACAAACUGCUCAGUGGCGCAGGGUAACCCUGUGGCUGUGUCCCAAUUCAUAGGACGCAUCCUUCGUAGACCGUGUCCUUCGAAGGAUGCGGCCUUCGUAGACCGCGAAGGACACUCCGAAGGCCGAAGAAAUGGGACGGUCUAGCCUACGGAGCAUUUCCGGUUUACGUAACAAACCGUUACCGCCCUUUAUCUUGCGUGACCAUGCGCUGCUCCUGUCACCUAGCAACCCUGACAGCUGACCUGACCUGUUAGUAAACAGAAGUUAAACCGGACAGCGCGAAAAAAAGAACAAAGAAACCAACAAAAAUUAUUAUUGAUCAUUAUGUUUUUGUAUAUAGUAGUUUUAUCAUAAUUGUUGCAAAUAGUCACAUGAAUGUUUUUUGUUGUAAAUAGUUUUAUUGUUGUAUAUAUGUUUUAUAAGUUAUAUACGAAUACAUUAGUCAAUACAAAAAAGUUAGUUAGGGUUUUAAUAAAAAAGUUAGUUAAAUAGUUAGUUAAAAAAGUUAGUUAAAUAGUUAGUUAAGUGAGUUUCAAUAAAUAUGUAAAUAAUAUUAAACAAUGUGUUAAAUAGAACAGAACACAAGUUAUUUGUCCACCAAACGCUCCAAAAUUGAGAAAAACCUAUCCAUUCUUUCCCUGCUCUCCUGGGCUCUUCUCUCCUCUGCCUCCCUUUGUAGCCUCAUGUCCUCUUUUAUUAACUGGAACAUUUACAUUUGACAUUUUGCAGACGCUUUUAUCCAAAGCGACUUACAAUAAGUACAUUUGUCAUAAGAAGUGCAUCAAUAUAUCGCUGUCGGUACAGAAAGGA